UCCCCCGAGCAACCCUUUCCACUGCCAUUUACUUCUUUCUUUUUCUUUCUUAUUCUGUUUUGUUGCAGGGGAAAACGAAGAGGAAAUAGAGCACUAGAGAGAGAGAAAAAAAAUAGAAGAGAGAAUAGGCGAGAGAAAGAGAGGGAGAGCGAGAGUGAGUUCAUUAAAGGCUUGUGAGUUAGUUGCAAGAAGAACCAAAACAACGGAGGGGGGAGAAAAGAGUGAGUGAGCUUCAGGCCUAGCUCGGGUGGAAGGAUUUACAGAGCAUGGAGUAUAAUGAAGAUUUAGGGCUGUUAGGUGACUAUUAGUUGGGAGCCGAGGAUACCGAGAUUAUACACCUGGAAGGCUCCACUUGUUGAGUUAUCUUUUUUGAGGGUCUUUGUGAGUACUUUCUUCCAUCAUAAAAUGAUAGUAAAUAUUUAUAUGUAAUGUUAUAGAAGUAGAGGUGGCUAAAUGAUUGAGGAAUAUAGUCUGAUAUAUUUGUUGAGUAUGCUAGUAUCAUUGUUUGAAUAUAGCCAUGAGAUCGCUAGACCCGGCGGAUUACAAAAGGAGCCUGAUCGGGAAUAGAAAAAGGGGUUUGAUCGGCCACUGGACCAUGCAGAAUAUAAGUAAGGGCCAGAACGGCCGCGGGACCCGACUGAAUAGAAAUAAGAGCCUGAUCGGCCACUAGACCCAAUGGAAUAUAAAUGGUGAUCAACUCUUACCGCCAAAGGUUAAUCGGCGGCUCCCGCUUAUGAGAUAUGAGUAUUGGGAGUUGAGGAUGAUAUGAGUGAGAAGUGUGGGGUAACAAUACCGUCUUUACUUGUUGUAGGGAAAUGUGACCCUAUGGCUAUACAUUGUGUGCUAGGAUUGAUUGAGAUUUGAUAUGAUGAUGGUUGAUCUUGUCUGAAUAUGCUCUAAAUAUACUUAAUUGCGCGUGAAAUGUUAAGUGCUUAGAUAGUGAUUUGCUAUGAAAUGCUUACUUAAUGGGUAUUUGCUAAUAAUGCGAUAUGAAUGAGAAGUGCAGGGUAACAAUAUCGUCUUUACUUGUCGCAAGGAAAUGCGACCCUAUGGCUAUAUUGGUUGAAUGAUGCUAUACAUUGUGUGCUAGGAUUGAUUGAGAUUUGAUAUGAUGAUGGUUGAUCUUGUCUGAAUAUGCUCUAAAUAUACUUAAUUGCGUAUGGAAUGUUAGAGCCUCAUAUGUUAAGUGCUUGGAUAGUGAUUUGCUAUGAAAUGUUGACUUAAUGGGUAUUUGCUAAUUAUGUGAUAUUGAGUUGCAUGUCGUGUAUGUGAUUGCUAGAGCUUGGGCACUAUGAAGUAUUUGUAUAUAGUGUACGUAUUGUAUAAAAUUAUGCGAUAGUGAAAUAAAGGCAGGUUCUAAUACUAUGGUGGAAUUUUAUGAAUACUUGAUUUAUAUAAAAUGUUGAGAUUGGUAAAUAUUCGUUUGUGAGGUAUAAAAUAUUUUAUGGACAAAUAUUGUUAAUUGGAAGGUAAUAGUUGAUAGGUUUGGAUGUGCUGUAUGUUUUAUUGAUAUAUAUAUAUAUAUAUAUAUAUAUAUAUAGUUAAUUAAGGAUUAAUAUUCAAUCAAUAGUUCAUUUUACUUUGAAAUAUAAUACUCACUGAGAUGCAGCUCACAGCUCAUGCAUAUAAUUUUUUCAAAUGAGUUAGGAGCUAGACUAGCAGCACAAGAGAAUUUUUGGACAUCGGGGAUCGGCGUGAAAGAUUUUUGCAGUUAGGCUCACUCAUAGUAUAAGUAGUAAGUUCCUGUAGAAUGCUAUAAAUAUGUUACGAUUUGAAAUUUUUAUUUAGUUGGUUCACAAAUGUGGGUGAGAAAAAAAACUAUCUUGAGAUGUAUAUACAUAUUUGAGUUUACUGGAUUGGUUAUAUAUAUUUGGGAGCUUAUGGAAAGGAAGUUUUUAUAUGAAUAGUUUAUGUGGUAAUGAAUAUUGAGGAAUUUAUGGGAAACUCUGCUGAAAUUUCGGAUCGUGACAUAGACAUUGGUAAAACUGGUUCAGGGAAGACAUUGGGGAGGGUACUUAGUACCGGGCUUUAUCCAUUUGAAGCAACGUUGUAAGAGCAUCUAUAAUGAUCGGGGUGAGUCAUAAUACCAAAAGGGUCCACCGGAUGCCAUGUAAUCGGAAUAAACUAUCUAGUUCGUCCCUGAGAUAGUCGAUUUGUAUCAAUUGAGUCCCUUGCCUGAAAUCAGCAUAAAUUUGAUCAUUUGUAACAUCAGUUUGGUCCCCAAGCAUCAAUUUGGUCAUUUAGAACAUUAAUUUAGUCCUUUUGGAACAUCAAUUUGCCCCCCAUGCAAAAUAGUCCCUGACCAACAUAUAAACACAUCAAUAUCAUCCUUAUAGAGUUGACUUUGUAACCUUUUAAGAACUUGUCAUUAUCAAUUUGUCAUUUAUCCCCUUUUUUAUUUGCUUUUGGAACAUCAAUUUAGUCCCCUCUCUAUAUCAUCAAUAUCUAGCUCAUUUCUUCGCUCUUUGGCUCCAAACUUGAUCCUAAACUGUAGUCCUAUACAUAAGCUUCCUAUAACAACCAAGAAUACAGGAAUUGAAGGUAUGAGCAAUGAGAAUGAUGUUACAAAAUCAGCUUGGAAAGCUUAUAUAUAUAUAUAUAUAGAGAAAGACCUUUUACUUUAGAGAGAGAUAGAGCAAGAGGGAGAGGACGAAGAAAAAGGAGAGAGAAAAUAGAAAAGAACGGAAAAUUUGGGAAGAAAAAGGGGACAAAAGCACCAUUUUGAUGUUCUCAACUUUUAUUGUCAAUACUAACAGCAAGUGACGGAGCGACCAAAUUGAUGUGAGUUGGGGACCUAAUCGUUGUUCCAAAAGGACUAAAUUGAUGUUCUAAAUGAUCAAAUUGAUGCUGUGGGAUCAAACUGAUGUUACAAAGGAAUAAAUUGAUGUUAUAAGGGACUAAAUUGAUGUUGAUUUCAUGCAAGGGAUAUGCAAAUCGACUAUGUCAAGGACGAACUUGAUAGUUUACUCCACCUGGCCGUUUGAUAGAUGAGGAGGAUCAUCCUCAUGCAAGUGUCACACCUCGUGCUUGACCGAAGCUGAUGGUAUACUGGACACGGGCUUUGAGCCACAGAUUAAUUAGGAAGAUGUAAUUGAUCGGUCUGGGAUGACCGGGUGCAUGAUAGAGAGUCUCUCCCUUAUUUCUAAUGCUAAUCUUUGCACCAGGAGGGAGGCAAGGGUGGAUUAAGACAGCAACUCGGGUAUUUCAAUCUCUAGCUGUUAAUGACGAACUCAAGACAUUGGAAGAUUCUCCCUACGAUUUUUUUGAUUGCCUUUCACCAGGAGGGAGGAUAGCUGUGAUCUCCUUCCACAGUUUGGAGGACAGAAUAGUGGAACAGAUUUUCCUUGGAGACAGUAGUGGAACCGACGAAGGAUACGGGCAAUCAAGUGAACCGGUGAACGAGAGCCAUUUAAGGAAGAAGUAUACAGCGGAUACAAAGGAAGCAUGGAUUAAAAGGGUUUUACAGGGCAAGAAUGCGAGGAUCUUGACCAAGAGACCAAUAUCAUCAUCUGAGAAGGAAGGGGAGUUGAAUCAGCGGAGCAGGAGUGCGAAGCUCAGAGUGAUUGAGUAGGUGCCAUCAAGUCUUUUUAAGUUUUCCAAAGCAAAAAUAUUCGGCAGUAAGAAAGUUUUGCUUGUCACGUAUUAAUUCAUCUUCGAAGGGAAUAUUUUAAAAAAUGUACCAUUAGGAUCAUGUUUAAUGUCAAAGUAAGUUGCAGGAAUCUCAUGGAGUAUCCUGAGGUUUC